rnacentral:tRNA from 1 species
GCCCGGAUGGUGAAGUGGCUAACACGUCGGUCUGCAAAACCGAUAUACGCAGGUUCGAAUCCUGCUCCAGGCU